UACGUAGGGUGCGAGCGUUGCCCGGAUUUAUUGGGCGUAAAGGGCGCGUAGGCGGCUCGGCACGUCCGUUGUGAAAUCGCCCGGCUCAACUGGGCGGGGUCAGCGGAUACGGUCGAGCUUGAGCAAGCUAGGGGGCAAUGGAAUUCCCGGUGUAGUGGUGGAAUGCGUAGAUAUCGGGAGGAACACCAGUGGCGAAGGCGGUUGUCUGGAGCUUUGCUGACGCUGAUGCGCGAAAGCGUGGGGAGCGAUCCGG
rnacentral:rRNA from 1 species